rnacentral:rRNA from 1 species
GAGCUAACGCGUUAAGCAUCCCGCCUGGGGAGUACGGCCGCAAGGCUAAAACUCAAAGAAAUUGACGGGGGCCCGCACAAGCGGCGGAGCAUGCGGAUUAAUUCGAUGCAACGCGAAGAACCUUACCUGGGCUUGACAUGUUCCCGACGGUCGUAGAGAUACGGCUUCCCUUCGGGGCGGGUUCACAGGUGGUGCAUGGUCGUCGUCAGCUCGUGUCGUGAGAUGUUGGGUUAAGUCCCGCAACGAGCGCAACCCUCGCCCCGUGUUGCCAGCGGAUUAUGCCGGGAACUCACGGGGGACCGCCGGGGUUAACUCGGAGGA